UACAGAGGGUGCGAGUGUUGUUCGGAAUCAUUGGGCGUAAAGGGCGCGUAGGUGGUCUGGUCAGUCAGAUGUGAAAGCCCUGGGCUUAACCCAGGAAAUGCAUUUGAUACUGCCAGACUAGAGUUCGGUAGAGGAUAGUGGAAUUCCCGGUGUAGAGGUGAAAUUCGUAGAGAUCGGGAGGAACACCAGUGGCGAGAGCGGCUAUCUGGGCCGACACUGACACUGAGGCGCGAGAGCGUGGGGAGCAAACAGG
rnacentral:rRNA from 1 species